rnacentral:lncRNA from 1 species
GCUAAUAAGCUUCCUUAAUUCAAACAACAAAAUUGAAGCCCAAUUUGAUUUUCCAGAUCCAUUGUACCUUAAAUUUCUUCAAAUUGCUGUUGAUUGCCUUCAGAGGUUCCAUUAGGUCAUCCAGAACAGCAGUAGUGUGCAAAUCAUCAGACAUAGAAGCUGUGAAAUUGGUGGGGAACUUAUUGACCAGUUCUCUGAUAUCAUCUGGAAUCUGACCUUUGAUAUUUCCUUCACGAAAUGGGGAUAGAGCCUUUUCACAGUCAUGUAUAGUCUACAUGUGGGGAAAAUAAACAAAGAAUUAACUCUUAUAUCCUGUAAAGCAUUUAAAAGCUCGAGCUACUAUAUGUUUGGUCUCAAACAGCUUCUUUACUCCAAAAAUGAAGUAGCAAAAGUAUUUAGCAAGCAAAAUGUCUUGAAUUAUUGCCCAAGUGGGAGCGCAAAUGAGACCCAAAAAAAACAUGCUCCAACUUGAAGCUUCUACAUAUGCUGAAUUCAGAAACUACUGAAUGGGCUUUUAAGGGAAGAACUGUUAGCGUAGCUCCAAACAGCUCUACCCAAACAAUACCUCCUAGAAAGCUCAAGCCAACUCAAAGAUGACCUUAACUUGUUUCUCCAGACAAGUAACACACCUGAUAUAUGUAGAAGACACGAUCCGAUGCAGUGUCAAGCUGUCUAUCAGAGUAAUUCACAUCUGCCCGGUAGUGUGUGCGCAUUAAGAAGAACCUUAACGCUAAAGGAUGAUAUUUCUCAAUUAUCUGCAUUCGAGAAAAUAGAAUUUUAUGCCUCAGAUAGAAAUCUUACGGUGUUAAAUUGAUGGGACAUACAAAAGUGUUAAGUUGUUAUGACCGCUUACAUCUCGGAUUGUGAAGAAGUUAUUGUCUGACUUGGACAUUUUCUGAUUAUCCCGGUUGACGAAGCCAUUAUGCAUCCAAUAGUUCACGUUGCUUUCUGGACAAGCAGCUCGACUCUGCGCGAGCUCGUUUUCAUGGUGAGGGAAGAUCAAAUCCUUUCCCCCACCAUGAAUAUCGAAAGCAUGGCCUAAAUAAUGAGAACUCAUGGCACUGCAUUCAAUAUGCCACCCUGGUCGCCCUGGGCCCCAUGGACUUUCCCAACUUGGCUCACCAGGCUUAGCAGACUGAAAGUUAAAUUAAAAAAAUUAAAAAAGGAUAUUAUAUAUAUAUAUAUAUAGAUAGCAUAACGGAUAAGGUAAAAUGUAUGGGAGAUCCGUGUACUGUCCUGUUAUUGCUAUUUAACCCCUAGACUCUUCACUUUAACACUUUAGUCCCUCAACUUUCUCAUAUAUUGUAGUCCAUCGCUAACCGGCCAAAAAAAAAAAAAAUCUAUGUAUUUCCUGUAAAAUGACUUCCUUGAUUCGAUACUUUGGAACAGGGUCAAAAAUGUUAUUUGUUGGAAAAUGUCACAUGUUGUGAAAAUCUUUUUCACGGUCAUAGAUUGAAUUAAAAACAAUGAGAAAGAUUAGGGGCAAAUGCCCAAGUGAAAAAUCCAGAAAACAGUUAGAAUACCAGAACAGUACAUAAUUGCUGAUAAAUAAUACAGAGUCUAAAAGGACAUAUGCUGAAAGUUAAACAUGAGCUCCCCACCUUCCAUAAUGCAAAGUCUGCGGGAUUCCGCUUUCUCAGAUCAACAGAGGCUCGUCCACCUCCACCUGCAAGAUUGUCAUCUAACUUCCGUCCGGACAAACGGCAAUAAUCGGGAAAACUAUCAACAGAAAAGUAAACAUCUCCCUCAAGAGUGUAGGCAUGGCCAUUAUCAAUUAUCUGUAAGCACAAGAACAUGAAAUUUUCAUCAGAAAACAAAACAAAAGCAAUAAGAAGAAAAAAGAUCUAGUAAAUCAAAGAUUGAGAGAAGAUCAAUAUGACGGAACAGUAAUGAAGCACCAUGUGAUUUUUUGCAUCACAGGGAACUGAGGGAACAAAAUUUGCAUCACCACUUCAAUAAAAAUAUAUAUAUAAAUAUUCAAUGCUCGGCAAGGAACUACCUUUGCUAUCAUAUCCUUUAUCUGUUCUAUAUGAUCUGUCACACGUGGUUCAUGAGUUGGAGGCAAGCAUUGAAGGACAGCCAUAUCAUCCAAGAAUUCUUUGCUAAAUCGGCUACUUAAACUUAAUGGAUCCUCCCCAGCUUCAUUUGCUCGUUUGAUGAUCUACAAAAUGAGCAGAAGUUUUACUUAGUUCUUGUAUUAGUACAAAAGCAAGCUACCACAGCAUAUACCCACUUCAAGCUAGAAUACCUGGAAGCAUACUCAGCUAGUCAUGUGACUAACAACAUUUAAAAGCACAGCAUGCAAGCCUUGAUAGCAAAAGCCUCCUCUAGGUGAAAAAGUAAAUACAUGCUAUUUCAUUCUAAUUUAAAACUUACUAACCUUGUCAUCAAUAUCAGUGAAGUUGCGCACGUACUUAAUUUCAUAUCCCAAAUGCUUCAAGUAUCUGUAAUCAAGGAACCAAUAGAUCCAAAUUACACAAUCUUACAUCACAAAAUUUAUGUCCAUAUAUACAAAAAUAAUUGCCAAUCUAGAUAAAUGACUUGGAAAAUAAUUAGCAUGCCCAAAAGGUAAUUUUGCAAUAUAUGAAUAAAGUCCUCAAAUUACUCAAAAUCGUUCCAUUGUGUAAAAUGCUUUCAGAGUGAAGAUGAUGAAGAAUAUCUCAUCUAUCUAAUUCUUCAAAACAUUAAGCUAUGCUGCGGAAGAUCGCUUACUUCAAUAUCCACCAACUCAUCUUUACACUCUUUAACUCAACACUGAGUGCAAAUUUUCCACCAAAAAUUCAAAAUUUUAGUGCUGAGUGCAAAUUUCCCACCAAUUUUUCAAAAUUUUAAUGCUUCUCAAACCAAGAACUAAACAAAACACUCCUUAACUUCCGUUCGGUGAGUUACCUCAGAUGCAUUAAAUCUACUUUAACCAUAGAUUACUCCAAAUUAGCAGGCGAUAAGCACUAAUUCGCCAAAAUUCAUACUACAAACAACCUCUACAACUCCUACUACUACUACAGCAAUCAUAGUCACAGCAAAACCACUCUCGGAUCCGAAACAAGGCGAAGAGGAAGGACGAGGGGAAGAAGGGACCUGUGGAGCACGUCGAAGGCGACGUAGGCGCGGGCGUGGCCGAUGUGGCUGAGAUCGUAGGGGGUGACGCCGCAAACGUACAUGGAGACCUUCCCGUCGACUAUCGGCUUGAAGGGCUCCUUCUGCUUCGACAUGGAGUUGAAGAGGGCGAGCUCCGGAUCCCCCAUCUCCGGCCCUUCCUCCCACCCCCGGCUCCUCUCGAAACCCUAGACUCAAACCCUAAUCGAGAGGCGCGGACGCCGCGGAGGAGGAAGAAGAUGAAGCUAGUGCAACGCGAUCGGUUAAUUUUUUGGGCACGAUUUUGUGGGAAUUUAUUUUCUCUUUUUUUUAUUAAGGUGAAAUGUAUGAAAGCCCCUUUAACUUUGGGUUAUUUUGAAAUUGACCCCUCAACCUUCCUUUUCACCUUUUUUUUAAACCUUUUUAAACCGAAUCAAAUUGAAAUUUAUAGAUGAACUGAACGAAUCUGAAUCGAAAUAGUUCGGUGGAAUAAUUGUAAUAGUUAAACUCUUUAAAGCAUUUAAUUACAUUUAAAGAUGGGAAAACUUCAAAAACCCCCCUUAUGGUCUCAAUUUUUUUCACUUUAGUACCAUGUGGUUUAAAAUGUAUCAAGUUAGUACAUUGUGGUUUCUCACUUUAUCACUUUAGUACCCUGUGGUUUAAAGUGUAUCAAGUUGGUACCCUGUGGUUUUGCAUUUUAUCACUUUAGUAUCCUGUGGUUUUGAUUUUGUAUCAAAUUAGUACCCUGUGAUUUUUUAAACUAUAGGGUACUAAAGUGAUAAAGUGUGAAACCACAGAGUACUAAAGUGAUAAAGUGCAAAACCACAGGAUACUAACUUGAUACACUUUAAANCUGUGAUUUUUUAAACUAUAGGGUACUAAAGUGAUAAAGUGUGAAACCACAGAGUACUAAAGUGAUAAAGUGCAAAACCACAGGGUACUAACUUGAUACACUUUAAACCACAGGGUACUAAAGUGAUAAAGUGAGAAACCACAUGGUACUAACUUGAUACACUUUAAACCACAGGGUACUAAAAUAAAAAAGUGUGGAACCACAUAGGGGGUUUUUGAAGUUUUUCCUUUAAAGAUUAAUGCAAAAAUAUGUAAAUAUGGUUUAUUCAUUAAAAAAAUUUAAUUGAUUAACGCGAACCGAACCGCAUAGGACAUUCCGGUUCGAGUCAAUCGGUUAGGUUGAUUUUAGGCUCAGAGAGACAAGAAAAAGGAAAUUUGAACUAUUGAUUUCCGAAGUUUUAUAAAAAAGGUUAUUUUGAUUUUAAAAAUUUUAAAACUAAAUUUAAUGCCUCUUAAUCUUAGUAAGCAUAUAUAUAUUCAGUUUCAUGGGGAAAAAAAUAAAAAAAUAAAAAAAUGGGUUUGGGGAUUUAAACUGAAAAGGAGGGGUUACGAUCUCAAUCCAACUGAACUAGGCAUUAUACAUUGUAACUAUUUAAUUAAUACAAUGUAUUGAAAACAAGCUUUUAUGAGUCCAAUUAAUGAAAAAAAAUUAUUAGGUUACCAAUUCACAUAAUUGAGCCGAAAAAGUAACACCUACGUAAUUAUAGCUUUUGUUGAAUCCGUCAAAUAAAUUUUUUAACAAAAAUAUAAUAUAAAACAGAAUCUAUCAAAUGAAUACUAAAUCUUCUUAGAUGUGCUAGCACAUAACAUCCCAAAAGAAAAAAACUAUAUUUUUCAAAAAUGCUGGUAGGUUAUGCCCACAGCAAAAGUACCUUCCAACUGGUCUAAACAGUGGUAUAUUUACGAUAACAACUCCGGCUGGAAUUGGUUCAAACUUGUGCAAAUCACAAGAAGUUUGUUCUAUGUAUUAAAAAUAAGGGGCAAUUGCUUAUAUAUUCCUAAAAAAUUUUCGACUUUCUAAUUUACUCUUUUUAGAAAGCUAAUAUUAAAAAUAUUUUUUUACGUUCCAACUUAUAUCAAAUAUACCCAUAGAGUUAAAUUUUUAACAAUAAGGGCUUGUUUGGUUCAAGGUGGAAUUGGAAUGAAUAAUGGAAUGAGAAUGAAUUGGAAUGGUAAUUGGAAUGGCCCACUCCCCUAAGACGUUUGGUUUAUUUGUGGAUUGGGAAUUGGAAUGAGUUAUUCACAUUUCAUUAUUUGGUUCGUAUAAACUAAAAAAAUUAUAGGAUACUAUAAUUCUAAUUUUACUCUCAAAUAUAAAUUUAUAUUAUUUAAAAUUUAUAAAAAAUAUAAUACUAUUCUCUAAUAAGUUUUCCAAAAAAAAUAUCAAAUUUNAUUGUACCUUAAAUUUCUUCAAAUUGCUGUUGAUUGCCUUCAGAGGUUCCAUUAGGUCAUCCAGAACAGCAGUAGUGUGCAAAUCAUCAGACAUAGAAGCUGUGAAAUUGGUGGGGAACUUAUUGACCAGUUCUCUGAUAUCAUCUGGAAUCUGACCUUUGAUAUUUCCUUCACGAAAUGGGGAUAGAGCCUUUUCACAGU